rnacentral:misc_RNA from 1 species
AUUGAAAGUUGUAGUAUGCGGUCCUUGCGGCUGAGAGCACUUCAGGAGUUGCCCGCG